rnacentral:misc_RNA from 1 species
GAAAUGCGAUAAGUAAUGUGAAUUGCAGAAUUCAGUGAAUCAUCGAAUCUUUGAACGCACCUUGCGCUCCUUGGUAUUCCUUGGAGCAUGCCUGUUUGAGUAUCAUGAAAUCUUCAAAGUAAAUCUUUUGUUAACUCAAUUGGUUUCUACUUUGGUAUUGGAGGUCUUUGCAGCUUCACACCUGCUCCUCUUUGUUCAUUAGCUGGAUCUCAGUGUUAUGCUUGGUUCCACUCGGCGUGAUAAGUUAUCUAUCGCUGAGGACACUGUAAAAGGUGGCCAAGGUAAAUGCAGAUGAACCGCUUCUAAUAGACCAUUGACUUGCACAAUACUUUUAUGAUCUGAUCUCAAAUCAGGUAGGACUACCCGCUGAACUUAAGC